GGUUAUGGCUCAGCGGUACAGUGCUUGCCUAGCAAGUCCGAGGCCUUGGGUUCAAUCCUCAGCACCA
rnacentral:tRNA from 1 species